UACGUAGGGGGCAAGCGUUAUCCGGAUUUACUGGGUGUAAAGGGGGCGCAGACGGCGAUGCAAGCCAGGAGUGAAAGCCCGGGGCCCAACCCCGGGACUGCUCUUGGAACUGCGUGGCUGGAGUGCAGGAGGGGCAGGCGGAAUUCCUGGUGUAGCGGUAAAAUGCGUAGAUAUAUGGAAGAACACCAGUGGCGAAGGCGGCCGCCUGGUCUGUAACUGACGCUGAGGUUCGAAAGCGUGGGUAGCAAACAGG
rnacentral:rRNA from 1 species